rnacentral:rRNA from 1 species
GCGAGGGAGAGGAAGCUGGUUUGGAGGGUGGAGCGGCGGGCUAGGCUGCGCGGCCGCUGGGCGGCGGCGCGAGCUCGCAGCGACUAGGCGCCGCGUCUAGGGCAUGCUCCAAACGAGUGGAAUAGUCGAGCUCCCACGUCCCAACUGCGCGGAUCGGCCGAGAACUUAAAGUCGCGUGCGCCUAGACCACCCUCCUCGGGGCACCCGCGGCGACGGACCCGCUACAGCUCCCAGGCCCUGUCCUGCCUCCUGAAGUUCCUCAGGCAGGCGCAGCGGCGCGAGAGGGUACCGAUGUGCCUCAGCGUUAACCGGCGCGAGUACAGCAGAAAGUAGUAGGCCUUCGGCAGUAGGUUUAGAGGCAAAUGUUUACGUCGUUAGUUCUGCGAACUCUCGUAGUCCCUCGAGCUCUUCAAAUAUCACUUCGUGUCCUCCCUGAUACACCUGUACGUAGCGUGGUGCCUCGUUCUCUCCCUGUUGUAACUCGUACUUCAACCAUAAAAACAUUUUCGUACGUUCCUUGUCUAUCUAUAGGAUUUCUUGUCCUAGGAACUUCUACUCUCCUUAUCUUCUCGGUUGUGUACCGAACCGUGUUCUCUACUCUGAAGGGCCAACCUGGACUAUCGAGUGGUCGUACCACACCAAAACUAAAACUCGCUCGCAGAGGUGAGUCAUUGACGUGUUAAACUAGCGGAAUCCAGGGACGCGAAAGUUCUUCGAUAAUUAUCCCACUACGGUUCUUUCUUCUAGUUCUUCUUCGGUCUUUAUUUUGGAUGACUUGGUAGGUUCAGUUUGGAACAUAACUUUAGACUACAGAGCUUCCAACUUCUAGCCCUCCAUAGUUGACGCGGGAAUUCUCAAGUUCUUGUCGAGAACCUGCUACUUUGUGCUCGAGAGGUCUACCUCAACUGGUUAGAAGAACUAUGACAGGUUCUUUGCCUCUGUUUCUACUAUCUCUACAGUCGUGAAUUAGUAGAAUACAGUUGUGUACAAGAUGUCGUUCGAGUCGUCUAAGUUAUAAAUAUGCUGGUCCGUCACCUUCGUUGCUUGUUGCACCUCGCACCCUUGUUCCUCGAUAGGGUCCGCUAGGUCGCCUUGUCGUCGUCAUCUUGGAAAGAGGACGAAAAGAAGAAACAAGAAUGAAAGAGACAAGACAAAGAACUGACCAUGUUUUUGACUUAACCGUCGAGUACAUUGGCAUGAUAACACGUUUACCUAACUGGAUAACUGCGGAGCAGAGAACACCCUGCUAAUAGUGAACAGUACGUAUAACCAGUCACGAUGAGACAAUUUUAAGGCUCUAAAACGGCGGCAAACGUUUAUAUUAGUCAUAUCAAGG